rnacentral:rRNA from 1 species
UACAGAGGUCCCAAGCGUUGUUCGGAUUCACUGGGCGUAAAGGGUGCGUAGGUGGUAGUGUAAGUUCGAUGUGAAAUCUCCGGGCUUAACCCGGAAACGGCAUUGAAUACUAUAUUGCUUGAGGGUCGGAGGGGAGACUGGAAUUCUCGGUGUAGCAGUGAAAUGCGUAGAUAUCGAGAGGAACACCAGUGGCGAAAGCGAGUCUCUGGACGACACCUGACACUGAGGCACGAAAGCUAGGGGAUCAAACAGG